rnacentral:lncRNA from 1 species
CAAAUGUAGCAUCGGGGACUUUGAUCUGCCUGAGUCAAUCUAGGGGGAUGCAGUAGGUUGUUGUUGAAGGACCCUCAAGCUCCCUGGCACUGGGAGGAAGGGCCGGCGUUUCUAAGCAUCAGGAGGCCAAGUUCUCAAUUCCACAUUCUCUGUCUCCAGUGGUGCAGCUGUGGCUCUGAAAAUGCUGUUCUGAUUUGAAACAUAGGGAGUUUGUUUGGAACACAUCUUAAGUGGAAUUAGCCCUCUUAGUCUACAUUUAGAUUUGUUUUAUGAAGCUCUAAUAUGGCGAGCAGCCCCAUCCAUUUAUGAAUCAUGAAAGCAGCAUUAUCAAGGAGCUGGGAUGCUGCUUCUGGUGACAGUCUGGAGAAGAUAUGGGGCAGUAAAUUUU